AGUUUCCCGCCGAUAGCUUUUUGUGUGAUUUCUCUACGGAAAUCACAGAGAGUUGGUUGGACUAGGGGGUCUUGUUUUAGGCCGUUUGGGCUGACU
rnacentral:pre_miRNA from 1 species